rnacentral:rRNA from 1 species
UACGUAGGGUGCGAGCGUUGUCCGGAAUUAUUGGGCGUAAAGGGCUCGUAGGCGGUUUGUCGCGUCGGGAGUGAAAACCUUGGGCUUAACUCAGGGCUUGCUUUCGAUACGGGCAGACUAGAGGUAUGCAGGGGAGAACGGAAUUCCUGGUGUAGCGGUGAAAUGCGCAGAUAUCAGGAGGAACACCGGUGGCGAAGGCGGAUCUCUGGGCCUGUCCUGACGCUGAGGCGCGAAAGCUAGGGGAGCGAACAGG